UCAAAACCAUCAAGAUUAUCAUAAAUUAGGGUUCAAACUAUCCACAUUACCACAAAAUAGAAUCAAAUUAGGAUAAAGGAAUAAAAAAACCCAAAUUUUGGCAUGACAAAAUUCCACCAAAACUUCAAUCCAAAUUAGGGCUCAAAGAGCCUCCAGGAUUCCAAAUUACGAAAUCAAUACAAAAGCUUAAAAAAAAAAAACAGGUUAGGGGUUUUUUCAUAACCCCAAACCUGUGCAUGUUGUUGUCUCCUCUGUGCAUGCUGCUUCUCUCUCACAAUCCCCAAAUGACUUUUUUCAUAUUGUCAAACCCAUAGUUCCUCUGUGCGUGUUGCUUCACUCUCUCUCACUCAAUCGCCAAACGAGUUUCUUCAUUUUCCCAAACCCAUAGUUCCUUUGUGUGUGCUGCUCCCUCUGUGCGUAGUGCUUCUCUCUCUGUGUGUGCUGCUUCUGCCUCUGUGCAUGUUGUUCUUCUUCCUCUUUGCGAACUAUAAAUGUCCAGAUGCUUCUU
rnacentral:lncRNA from 1 species